rnacentral:rRNA from 1 species
AUUGAACGCUGGCGGCAGGCCUAACACAUGCAAGUCGAACGAGUGGCGGAGGGGUGAGUAAUGUCUGGGAAACUGCCUGAUGGAGGGGGAUAAAUACUGGAAACGGUAGCUAACCCCGCAUACUAUCAGAUGUGCCCAGAUGGGAUUAGCUUGUUGGUGGGGUAACGGCUCACCAAGGCGACGAUCCCUCGCUGGUCUGAGAGGAUGACCAGCCACACUGGAACUGAGACACGGUCCAGACUCCUACAGGAGGCAGCAGUGGGGAAUAUUGCACAAUGGGCGCAAGCCUGAUGCAGCCAUGCCGCGUGUAUGAAGAAGGCCUUCAGGUUGUAAAGUACUUUCAGCGGGGAGGCGUUACCCGCAGAAGAAGCACCGGCUAACUCCGUGCCAGCAGCCGCGGUAAUUC